UCUUCUCUGGCUGAACAUGAAGAAAAUCCUUCUCAUCUGUGGCCAGGACGAAGCGAUGGCUAAGCUCCCUCUGUUCUCUCCCUGAUCUUCUCGCUCAAUCUUUUCUCCACCCUCUGAGAAUUUACCUCAGAAGUCAAUCCAUCACUCUGCCUCUCACCUUGUGUGCAGCUCUUGCGAUCAUAUCCUCUACAUUCCCAUCAACUAUUUUCUCGUUUCGUACUUCGAUAUGGGAAUCAAAGGUGUUGCUCUUAGUGAGGUGUGGUCUAAUUACAACCUCGUGGCUUCCCUGAUCAUAACAUCAUCGUCUCUGGGGUCCACAAAAAAACCUGGGGAGGGAUUUCAGUGAAGUGUUUCUGAGAAUUGUGGUAGCAUGAGAUCAUGAUCUUGCUUUGUGGAUUGUUAAUAAAUCUGAGAGCUACCGUUGAUUCAAUGGGAGUUUUAAUUCAAACCACCGCUUUAAUCUACAUAUUUCAUUCUUCCUUAAGCUUCAGUGUGUCCACGAGAGUCUGCAAUGAAAUCGGCGGGAACAACCCGAAAAGGGAGUGGUGUCUCAAAUAACAGGUUUUAAUCCUAUGAUUCAAAGAUGUUGCCACUGAAUUCGGGGUUGAGGGCUUGUUGAUCACCUCCCUGCUGCUGCACAAAGCUACAAUAUAAUUAGUAUCAUGAUCGAAUCCUUUGUGUGUUCAUGCGCACGCAUGUGUGUGCUUAAAAUAUGAAAUGAGUAUGCAUGCCUGGCUCCAAGAUUGUUCAAGAGGUGCGUUUUCUUCAACAUGGUAUGGGCCAGAAGAGUUAGAAUUUGGAACCUGGUCCGCAGAAGGGUCGGAAACUUUGUUUACAGCAGUGUCCAGGCCUUGGUCCGCAGCAGUGGGGUUUAUUUGAUUCGGAGUUGCGUCCGGCACUUGAACUGGAUAAACAUAAACAAUCUUCCUUGAUUUCAGCUUUGCUUGGCUUGUCCUCCUCGACCCCGAAUUCAGAGGCAACGUCUUUGAAUCAGAGGACUAAAACCUGUUACUUGAGACACCACUCCCUUUUCGGGUUGCUGGCGCCGAUGUCAUUGCCGACUCCCGUGGAAACACUGAAGCUUAAGGAAGAAGGAAAUAUGCAGAUUAAAGCGGCGGUUUGAUUUAAAACUCCCAUUGAAGCAACGGUGGCUCUCAGAUUUAUUAACAAUCCACAAGGCAAGAUCAUGAUCUCAUACCACCACCAUUCUAAACACACAGAAAUGUAGCUGGGCACUACUAAAUUUAGAAGCGUCCUCCUUUCUCUGAAACACUCCAUUGACAUCCCUCCCCAGGUUUUUCUGUAGACCCCAGAGAAGAUGAUGUAUAAGAUCAGGAAAGCUACGAGUUUGAAGUUAGAUCAAACCCCACUAAAAACAACACCUUUGAUUGCCAAAUCAAGGUGCGAAACGAGAAAAUUGUUUAUGGGAAUGUAGGGGAUAGGCAGAGUGAUGGAUUGACUUCUGAGGUAAAUUCUCAAAGGGUGGAGAAAAGAUUGAGUGAGAAGAUCAGGGAGAGAAUACAACUGAGCUUCGGCAGCGAUCGUUUCAUACUGGCCGCAGAUGAGGAUGAUUUUCUUCAUGUUCAGCCAGAGAAGAGAAAUGGGUAAGGAUGUAAAUAGUAAGAGGAGGACUGUCCUCUGCAAAGAGAGGCCGAGCAGAGUGUGUUUUCUGGCGCCAAAAGCUUGGCCGCAGAUGAGUUGCAUUCCCAUGGCGAGGCCGGAGAGUAUGGAGUAACCGGUUAUGUUGGCGUAGCCAAUGGCAAGGGACCUGCCCGCUAAGGCGAGCUCGCCAUGGCGGCCGAGGAAGAGCAUGAAGAUGACUGACCUUGAGUAAAGCAACAGGCCCGGUAAGUAUCAUUGGGAAAGCUACGACAGCUAUGGAAUUGGCUUCUUUCAAAGCCAAUGAAAAAUGGGAUUCUUUGUGGGGAUUGAACUGUAACUUCGGUACUUGUUCUGGUUGGGAUGUUAUGGUUUUGGAGAUCAAUGGGGAAGUUAGGGUUUUGGGGUCCUCCGAGUCUUUGAUGGAGAUAAGGCGAUGAUGGUCUGAACUGCCAUUGCAGCGGAGAGGACAAAAUUUGAUGUUGGAUAGUAGUUAAUGUAAUGGAUAGCUCCAAAGAAAACGUCAUUGUUCAUCCGCGUAUGCAACACCAAACGGAGAAACUUACUUACCAUAUCCGAAAUGGUAAAAACUCUGAUGUUUUAACUUUGGUUUUUCCUCUUAUGAUUCGUCAGCAAACCAUAUGAGAGCUGACGCAACAGAGACUUUGUGGUAUGAAGCUGAACGUAGUAUAUAAGAUUACGUGCACGCUUGUGUUAAGAUUAAUUUCCAAUUGCAUCAAGAAAUUCACAACGCAAACUGCCUAUUAACUAAAACACGAGCUGAGGCCGCCUUCAUCAACUCUGGCGGAGAAGGUGGAGGAGGACAAGUAAAUCAAGUGCAUCAAAUGCAAGAAGUUCAGUCCUUGGUUUAUUUGAUUCCUUAUUGUUUGCAAAAGAAUAAAAAGGUUACCAAAAUAUUGAUCUUCAUGUCGAUUAAGUCCAAUGCAAAUUAGCUACAAAUUGCAUUGUAUCGUUUUCCAUUUUGUGUAGUGGACGUUGUAAGAUUAGUUCGGAUGCAUGAAUAACCAAAUUCACUACCUCGAAACGUACUUUUAUUACAAGAGGAUACUUUGAAUUACUCUAAUUUAGAUGGAGAGGGAUUCGAAGUUGAUUAAAAGAGGAUGAACACAUUGCUGUAGUGAACUGAUAUAACUUACAUUUGCAUAUAUUACAGAGUAACAUAAAGUAUAUGAUGUCAAAAUUGGCUGAUACCAACGGACCGAAGUUCCAUUUUGGUUAAAGUGUUAUCAAUUGUUACAAUUCGACAUUAGUUUAUUAAUUGUCGCAAUUUAAUUAGCACGCGAUAUGCAUAUGCCUGCUGUUAAGAUACUCCAAUUUAGCCUCAUGUAUAUUACUCCCGACAAUUAAAUUACAAUGAGUCAAAUCACAACCAAAUUUUUUUUUUUUUUUAAAAAAGGAUAACUGGUAUGGUUAUUUACUCAUUUUGGGUCCGAAAAAGUUAGGAAAAAUUUCAAACAGACUUAUCAGUUCGGAGUUUCGAAAUCGAAACCUCCCAACUUAAUCAAUCGAAGCCCAAAGGCCCAAAAGUGAAAUAAUAUCAUUUUUGCGAUAAUUUGAAUCUGCAGAGAUAAUUUGGAAUCCCGAUAUAACUCAAGUGGAUUGUAAAAUAUCAUUUUUGCCCCUGAUAUUAAAUAGUUGUGCAUGUAAGUGUGAAAGGGCCACGUUUACAAAUAAUAUAAAGUACAGGGCCCUUUUCACAAAUAUCAAAAACGUUGUUUUCUUUUUCUCUACUCUUUAUUUAUUUAUUCCACUCACGAGGGCUCUCCGUUCGGUCAAAUCGAAGAAAGUAUCACCUACUUCCUUCACGUCGCUCGCUUGCUACGGUUCGAGUCUGAAGCUCCAUUGCUUCCGAAGAGAAGGUACGAAGCUCUCUGAAACCUGAAUCAUAAUUGUACGUGUCUCAAUUUUCCGUUUGGUUCCCGAGAAAAUUCGUAAAGAAACCAAAAUCUUUUUUCUGCAGUUCAAUUUGUUAUCUUUCGUGCCGUUUCUGGAAAAUAAAUGGAGAUCUGACUUAUAGGGAUUCUGUAGUUGUAGAUCUGAUUGCUCUGCGACUUAGGUGUUUGUAUUUUUUGUUUCUUUGCUUAAUUUAUUGAAAUUUGUGGAUUUUUUAGGGUUAAUUAUCCAAUUGGUUAUCUUUUUUUGGUUAUUAAUUUGGAUUUGUGUGUUCUUACAUAAUUUUCUUUGGUUAAUUUUGAGACCGAGAUCUUGUUUAGUGCAAUUCUUAGCUGAAUUUUUUUUUUCUUUAGCUAAAUUAGGUUACGCAUAGCUAAAGUACACAGGGAAUAUCAGUGAAUUUGUUUGUAGGCAUUGAUUAUUUAUUUAUUUAUUAUUAUUUGUGAUAUUUCUUGUGAUUUGGUAUAGCGGUUCUUGUAUAAGAUAUGACUAGUGCUUUGUAAUUAAAAAAAAAAAAUUAUUUGUGAUAUUUCUUGUGAUUUGGAACUUGGUGAAUGUAAUUGUGUAUUUAGCGGUUCCUGUAUAAGAUAUAACCAGUGCUUUGUAAUUUUUUUUAAAAAUUAUUUGUGAUAUUUCUUGUGAUUUGGAACUUGGUGAAUGUAAUUGUGAAUUUAGCGGUUCUUGUAUAAGAUAUGACCAGUGCUUUGUAAUUUUUUUUUUUAUUAUUUGUGAUAUUUCUUGUGAUUUGGAACUUGGUGAAUGUAAUUGUGAAUUUAGCGGUUUUUGUAUAAGAUAUGACCAGUGCUUUGUAAUCUUUUCGUAUGAACGUAACAUUUUUAUAUCUUACAUUUACGCACCACGUUCUUUUUCACAAUUGAAAGAAUGUUUGGUGUUGAGUGGUGUUCUUUGAAAUUAUGUGCCCUUUGUUUAUGUGAUGUGAAAUUUAGUAAUGUUGGGUUUUCUUGUUCAUUAUUAUCAUAUGCAUAUUCUUUUCUUUUCUUUUUUUUAACAGAAUAUGCAUAUUCUUUGAUAGACUGGUCUUUUGCUCCACUGCAUCACGUAAGGUGUGAAAGAUUGUUUUCAUGAUUGAUAACAAUUUAUUUUCAUUUAUGCCAGGAAAUGAAGCCGAUUUUUUGUGGGAAUUUUGAAUAUGAUGCUCGACAGAAUGAAUUGGAGCGGCUGUUUGGUAGAUAUGGGAAAGUUGAUAGGGUCGAUAUGAAGUCUGGUGAGUUCACCUUUUAGUUCUCUGUCUCUGUAUUGUGCUUAUUUCACUUGUGGCACCGACAUUUAAUCCUCUCCCUCACGUGAUGCAUCUGUUCUCCUCAAACAUAUUCAAAACAUCCUCUACUUCACAUGGCAAAUCACUAUGAAGCUGGAUAGUCAGCUCAGAUCUUGUAUGAGAUUUCAUCCUCUAGUUUUGAUCCUGAAAGAGUAAUAAGUCAUUUUAUUUCAUUUGAACUAAUGAAUUGAAACCCAAAAUUAGGACUGAUUUCUAAGCUCACAUGGGCGAACAAUAUAUAUCUGUUUCAAAAUUUUACCACACUUACUGAUUAGAUUUGUGGUAAGAUUUGAGGUGUGAAAGUGAUUUUAGUGAUUUUGGUAAAUAAAUUAUUUCUAAUUCUUUUGGGAUCAAAAUUAAAGGAUGAAUUAUAGUCAGCAUUAUUGACCAAAAAAAAAAAAAAUCUAAUAUGGCAUCUUCAAAAUUUUCAAUUUACAUGUUCUAGAUUCCGCAAUCUUGCAUUCCUAUUUCAUCCAGCUUUGAGUUGGUUAUUUAAAGGCAACUUUGUCUAGAUUUAUCAUGCAUUGAGGUUCUUGGUUUACUAAUUUGAUUUUGGAGGUUUGAGGGAUGGACAUCACUAUAAUUUGUUACUUUGUUCAAAUUAUUGUCUCUGUGAGGGGUCUGUUGAAGACAAGAAAACACUGGAUUAAAAUUGUGCAUGCAUGUAAUCUGCAGUGAAAUAAACUUAUAGUAACAAUCAUAUAUCCCCCUGCGAGAAUCAAAACUGGGUCUUACAGCGGAAAGGAAAUUCAACCACGGCAUGUCUGCAUCUGUAACUGUGGCACCUCGGAUGUGCUGUUUCAUCAGCAGUUUGACCGAAUAAUCAUCUGGCUACAUUUCUCAGUGGCAGCAGUCUUCCUUGUUGAGUUACUGUGGGGGUUCCGGAUACGUUUAAGAAAGAGCAUGUAUUUUUUGGCACAUAAACCCCCAUACUCAACAUUUUCUUUGACGCAGGAUUAUCUUGGGAUAACCAUAAUCCUCCAGGCUAGUGGAUGGGCUCUUCAGAAUUCUGUUUCUUACUUGUGAUGAGCUUCCUCUUCUUGUUUUCAAGAAGAGUCACUCUGAUCGGCAAUUGCACUACCGCCAUCCCACAUUUUCCACAGUCACAAUUGCCUUUCAUUCCUCAUGACCUUCGCCCAGCCCUCAAUCACAAUUGAAACACUGCCAUCCCAUGGCAGGGGCAGCCGAUUAGAUGGAGAAGGCACUCUCUUUACAUUGACCCACCAUGAGACAUCCAUUUUUGGAUUCUUGUCCCUUGACAUCACUUAGUUCAUAUUGCAAGGUCUGUUACUAUUUUUAUUGGUCCCUUAGUUUAUAGAUUUCCCGUAGGUUGCCUCACUGUUUAAUUAGGAUAGUAUUUAGGUGGUUUGUAUAUUGUCGAAAGGAGCAAUGCCGUCUCUUAUUGAAGAAUCCUUGUACGGGGGAAUUCUUACCUUUGUUUGGCAAAAAUACAUGGCAUUUGUUGUCAGUUCAGAAUGUUGUACUUACUUCUUUACAGGGUUUGCUUUCAUCUAUAUGGAGGAUGAGAGAGAUGCUGAAUAUGCCAUUAGGGGACUUGACCGAAAAGAAUUUGGUCGAAAAGGACGCAGGCUUCGUGUUGAAUGGACGAAGGUAGCAAAUGUAGGCCAUUUUUAUCACUAUUUAAUUUUGUCACUGUUUGUCAGUUGUUUUUUCAAGUUUGUCCUGGUUUUAGCACUUUUAUGUUUUGUAUUGUAGCAAGAACGUGGUGCUAGAAGACCUGGUGCAUCAAGAAGAUCUUCGACUAAUACAAGACCUUCAAAGACCUUGUUUGUUAUAAAUUUUGAUCCUUAUCACACAAGGACCAAAGAUUUGGAGAGGCAUUUUGAUUCAUAUGGGAAAAUCGUCAGCGUAAGGAUCAGAAGAAAUUUUGCAUUUGUUCAGUAUGAGUCACAAGAGGAUGCUACCAGGGCAUUGGAAGCUACAAACAUGAGGUGGAUAUGUCGUUCUCUCUCUCUCUCUCUCUCUCUCUCUCUCUACUAUAUCGUUGUUCAUUCUUCUGUAUAUUUGUCCAUCUAUUGGCUGAUGAUAUGUGUUUUUGCAGCAAGCUGAUGGAUCGAGUUAUAUCGGUGGAAUAUGCAGUUCGUGAUGACGAUGAAAGAGGAGAUGGAUUUAGCCCUGACCGGAGAAGUCGUGAUAGGUCUCCAGACAGAGGCCGUGAUAGAAGAAGGUCCCCAAGCCCCUACAAAAGAGAGAGAGGUAGCCCUGAUUAUGGCCGAGGCCCUAGCCCUGGUCCCUACAGGAGAGAAAGGGGUAGUCCUGAUUAUGGACGUGCAGCAAGUCCUUAUAGAAGGGAGAGAGUUAGUUCUGACUAUGGCCGUGGGCGCAGCCCAAGUCCAUAUAGGAGGGACAGGUCUGAUCAUGGCCGCGUCUCCAGUCGUAGUCCUAGAAAAGAGAGGGUGAGUGCUGACCGUGUUCAUGAUCGUACCCGUAGUCCUUAUGGAAGAGAGAGGCCUGGGGAUGACAAUGGCCAUGGUCCCAGUCGUAGCUCAUAUAAGAGAGAUAGGGGUAGUCCUGAAAAUGGUCCCAGACGUAGUCCAUAUAAGAGAGAACGGGAUAGUCCAAGGGAUAGUCCUGAAAAUGGCCGUCUCCCAAGCAGUAGUCCAUAUAAGAGAGAGAGGGUCAGUCCUGAAAAUGGUGGUGGCCCCAGCGGUAGUCCUUAUGAAACAGAGAGGGCCAGCCCGGAAAAUGGUCGUGUUGCAAGCCUAAAUUCUGCGCCUGAAGCUAGGGAUAGCCCCAACUAUGGCGGGCCUGAAAGCCCCAUGAAUGAGAGAUAUAGCAGGUUUGAAUUUCAACCCCACUAAUCUGGAUUAUUAACCUUGUUAACCAUCUACUCUUAACUUCUGUUGUUUAACACACGGUCUUUUGUUAACUGCAGCCGUUCACCGCAAGCUGAGGAGGAAUGAUAUUGAAACUUGAUCAGUAGGUUGUAUCGGUGUCUGCUCGUGAGAUGCUAUUCAGUUUGUUGUUCCCCUGAAAACCACCGCGUAAUCAAAUCGUAAUGCAACUUUGUAGUUUCUUGUAGACUUGUUCUUAUUUGUAGCUUUUAGAUUCUUUCUGCUCAAAACGUAAUGAUGGAACUUAUUAUUUUGUUAUUGAAGGAGAGUUGUAACACAGAUUUAGCCGUUUGAUAUUUCGUGUUAUUUUCAAUUUCUUGAUUGAUCCGUAUUUGAAGCAGGUUAUUGUGUAUAUAUUUUUGUCGAUUUGGUUGAUUUCGAGACUUGGGAGCAGCCUCUCCAUAAAUGGGGGUAAGGAUAGCCGACAUUCACCUCUCUCAGACCCUGCGUAAAGCGGGAGCCUUGUGCACUGGGUACGGUUGAUUUAUGUCUACUUCUCGGCCAGCCUUGUGGGAACCUGGUUUUUAGGGUUUGUACUGUUUGUGUUUUAGAUAUGGUGGGGAUAUGAGGUAUAAGGGAAAGGAGGAAGAAGAAUUAAUCAAAUCAAAAUUAAGAAAGUAAAAGCAACUUGAGAUAGGUUUUGAUUUUUAGCUUUCGUUUUGUAUAACUUUCUUUGUUGAUAUCUCUAGAUAUCUUAGUCACUCUUCUAUGUCCUUCAUCUCUUUCAUAUAUCUUCUCUAUUAAUAUAUACACACACACAUAUACACACAUACUAGCCUUCAUGCACGUGCUCGCAGCAAACAUUUUUUGAAUCACGACGUGUUAUGUGUGAUUUACACGUUUUAAAUGUAUUUAUAUACGUAAAUUGAUAAAAGAAAAGUUAAAUAUUUGAAAUAAAUGAGUAAUAUUAGAUUAUGCCAUAAGAAACCUCUCAUAAGUCAAUUAAAGUAGCUGAAUCCACGUAAUAAAAUCGGUAUCUAUUGAAGUUAUAUUAAGAAUAGAGAAAAUAAUAUUUAAUAAACAACUGAUUGAAUCACAUUAUUGCUAUCCCAUUGUGAGGUACUAGUUAUUAAAAAAAAAAAAAGUUGUACAAAAAAAUUUAAUUAUUAAAAAAUACUGUUAAAAUGAUGAAAAUUCCCUUGGCACAUUUGAUGCAUUAUUUUGAGUUGUUUUUGAAGUUUUUUGUUUGAGGGGCAUUUUUGGUGAAGCUUGUGACACCAAAAAACACUAUUCAUUGGGCCAUUGGCUUUAUAUAUAAGGGAAUUUUAACGAAAAACUUUUAGUACUGUUCACUUUAAUGAAAAACUACAUUUUUACACUAAAAAGUCAAUUAUGGUACUAUUCACUUUACCCUUUAUUUUGUCCUUAUCGUUAAAACUCAAAGUUUUCAAGUCAUUUUCAUUAGUUUUCCUUAUAUAUAACUAGUCUUCAUGCACGUUUUAAAUGUAUUUAUAUGCGUAAAUUGACAAAAGGAAAAUCAAAUAUUUGAAGUAAAUGAAUAAUCUUAGAUCAUGCUAGAAGAAACCUCUCAUAAAAUAAUUAAAGCAGUUGAAUUCACAUAAUAAAAUCGGUCUCUAUAAAAUUUACUUCAAGAAUAGAGAAAAUAAUAUUUAAUAAGCAAUUGAUUAAAUCACAUUAUUGUUAGCUCAUUGUGAAGCUAAGCUCAUCCUCUCUUCCUUAGUGUAGAUAAUAUUGUUUGUCAAAAAAAAAAAAUCGUUCGACAACUAAUUUAAUCACAUUAUUAUCCGUGUGCGAAAGACUUUUUUUUUAUAACCGGCAUUACACGUCACUUAAGAUGUUUUUAACGUGUUUAAAAAUAGAGAAAAUAAUAUUUAAUAAACAACUGAUUGAAUCAUAUUAUUGUUAGCUCAUUGUGAGGCUAAGCCCACCCCCUCUCUCUUAGUGUAGAUAAUAUUGUUUGUUAAAAAAAACAAUCAUUUGACAACUAAUUUAAUCACAUUAUUAUCCGCGUGCGAAAGAUAUUUUUUAUAACCGGCAUUACACGCUUCGUAAGAUGUUUUGAAUGUGUUUAAAAAUAGAAAAAUUGAAUCACAUUAUUGGUAGCCUAUUGUGAGGUACUAAUUUAAAACAAAAACAAAAAGCACAAAAAAAAUAAUUAUUAAAAAAUGCACUGUUAAAAUGACGAAAAUGCCCCUGCCUUAUUUGAUGCAUUAUUUUGAGAUGCCUUUGAAGUUUUUGGUCUUGGGGCAUUUUUAUCCAAAUAUUUUUGUUGAAGUUUGGUAACACCAAAAGCACUAUUCACCUUUUGUGUUGGCUUUAUAUAUAAGAAGAUAUGAAAAUUAAUUUCAUUCAUGGAUAAGUCUAAGUGAUUUAAUAUUAUAUAUUAACCAAUUAUACAAGUGUGUAUAUUUUUCCAAAUCAAAAUUAGGUACCGAUGACACUUUACUACAGUGACAUAAAGCAUUAAUGUUUACUCACUUUGGUGGGGAUUUGUUUUCACCUAUCUCCUUUCCGUUAACAUUUAACAAUUUCAUCCACGCGCUAUCGGUUGUUUUAAAACAAAAAAAAAAAAAACCUAAAUUAGGCCUCCGGGCAUAAACGCCGUAUCAGACUUGUUAGUUAUUGGGAGACUGGACGUGGAUGUCUUUAAUCUUCUUUUUUUUCAACACAAGGGAUAGUAAUUAACACUUAAAAGAACGUCAUCAUUCACUCCUUAUAUUUCUUUGAACCAUAAGAUGAGAUGUGCAUGAUGAUUUUUUUUAGUGUCAAUAAAACUCCGUCUCUAAAAUGCUUCGGGCCUAAAUUUUUCCUAUUAUAGCACCAUAGGCUUCUUAAAAGCAAUGCAGGAUGAUCCAAAAAUGUUCCGGCCGGUAGAACUCUAUUCUAAUUUCUAACUAAGUUUUGUUGUCAAUACAAAAAAUCUAACCGGAGAGGGCAUAACUAUGUUUUUAACUCCAUUAGUAUUUUUUUCUUGUACUUUCCUACUUUUCAGCUUAAAAAUUCAAUUAAAAAAUAACUACAGGACGCAAUAAAUGGUAAGAUUGCUUGAAAAUGUCUUGUAAUGUUUUUUGUCGCAAAAGAUUUAUUUUUUUUUUUUACCAGAAACAAUUGAGUGGUAUUUUCUUUAUCAUCACAAACAAAUACAUAGGUGCAAAUCCGGUUCAUAGCUCCAAUGACCAAGAAAUUGAUCUGGAGUGAAUUUGUAUGAACAAACAAGAAGUAAACCCCCUAGAUGGGUACCACAUGCACAAGACUAGCACCCCCUACGUGCAAAAAAAAUUCAAGCCUAGCAUAUGGACAACACAAAUUGGGUGAUGUGGAGCACGUGUGGUCGUUGAGCUUUACACGAGAGGCAACAUGAUCUGAUACCAUGAAGAAGAUUGGGGUUCUAUAAAAUAAUUGGCAAUACGAGAAGUAACUCAAGUACUUAUAAGCACAUGCAAGAUUCCCCAUUUAACCAAAUAUAGGAUUCAUAAUCUUAACAUACUUGUGCCAUUGCUGCCAAGGUUUUAAAAAACGCUAGGCACUAGUCGAACGGCGGACUAGGCAUAUUUAAGUAAACUUAUUAUAUAACGUACAAAUAAGUGUAUUUAUACUUAAAAAUACAUAAUUGCAUCAGGAUACAAAAAUUGAAAAAUAGAAUGACAUAUAGAUUAGAAAAUAUUAUAACAUAUAGAAAGCAUGGGGAACCAAAAUAUAAUGAGUGUUCAUCCAAGCAUUCAACAAGUCUCUUACAAGUUAUAAAAAAAUGCAAAAUGAAAGUUAUUUAUUUUUUUAUGUCUAAGUGAGAGUCGCGACUUAAAUGGGUGUCUAGGCAACUAAGGCAAGUAUAGGAGAGCACCUAGAUUGGCUAAGUGGGCAUUUAAGCAGGUCUAAGCUUCAAACAUCUAAAGAUAAUCGGAACGAUGGUCAUCCACUUAACAUCUAGGCAACGCUAGCGAAAAUUUUUAGAACAACGAUUGUUGCUCAAGUGGGAUCCGCAUCAUCACGAGUCACAAACUUCAUUUGAUUUCCGAAGUUCUUAAAAAAACAUAAAAUCAAUUCUUGUAUCGCAAUAAGAAAUGGAAUUGGAAUCUCAUUAGUUAACUUUCUAGUUUUAUUCUUACAUAUCUUGUUAAAUUUGUUCUCAUCCUUGUAGAUAAAGAUUUGUCCAAAUCAUCGAAUCAAUCAGUCAAACACGUCGAAGCAAAUGACUCUCCCAUUUUCUGACGCGGAAAACAUUCGGAUAAGUUAAAAUAUUUUAUACAUGGAGUGCUGACACGUAUAAAUUAAUUUCCACUCUAAACACUUUGCAUAUUAUGUGUGAACACCAAUCAAGCAAAUUAAUCCCUCGCUGACUCAAUAUUUCACACCCUAUUCUCUGUCUCUUCCCACAUUACCAACCAAAUGGGAAAAUUGCUUUCGGUGAAACAGACAAUAUGCAACAAAGUGGCAUCAAAAAUGGAUUUUAGGGAGAAGCCAAAGUCAAAAAAGGAAUUUUAAGAUGCUUCUCUUCAAAGUGCUUUUUCUUAGUUCAAACCAAAUAUUAUAGAGGUUGAUUAGUUUGAACUGAUGGGAAUAGGGAACAUUUGAGACUGAAACUUUAAGAAACUUAUAUCUAGACAACAUCCCUAAUUCAUUGACCAAUCAAUGCUAACACAUAAAAUUAGAUCCUAACAAAUCUCGAUGUGUACAAAACUCAUAGGAUUUGGAUCCUUAAUUACUUUGCUAGAAUAUGAACGUAUGUUUGGAUUGUGAUGAUACGACUCAUGGCCCCUCAUUAAGCUUAUCAUCUAUUUUGGAUCGACUAAGACAUAUAUUUAUCCCUUUCGACUAAGACAUUUUGGUUAAGCCAGCGGUUUACACGAGAGCUUAUUUGUCAUCACACUAUUGGUCCAAAAUAGCCAAAUUAACUAGAUUAAUUUCUUUAACUUUCUUCUCCUUUGUUUUGUAGUUGUUUUUCCUUUUUUUGUUUGAAUAUGUUUUGUAGUUGUUUUUCCUUUUUGAAAAGAAAUUACAAGAAACAAGACUGGGAUGCAACAACCUUCUUGAUUUUUCUUUUUAUCAUGUAAUGUUGCUUGAUAAUCAUAACCGUCUACUCUCUACACUACCAUUUAAGUUCAAUCUAAACAAAAAAAAGCAAAACCAACAAAACCGGAAAAUCGUUAAAAUUGUUCAAUUAAUUUUGUCUCAAUUUAGUGUUAAAGUUAUAAACAUGAUUCGUUUAUUUAUUGAAUAACCGUUAGAUGACUUAAUAAUUUUAUAAAUUAAUCUGCAUAAAUGGUUAUUAAAAGUUAAUCUAGAAAAUAAACAGUUUAAAUUAUUAUGCAACGUAAAAAAAAAUUAGAAGAGUCGAGAAGGCCGAAAUAAGAUGCUUUCAUUCCUCAAGAAGAUUGACGGUAGAUUGCAUAGGAAUGAGUUCUUCACUAUUACAGCUUUCUUUAGUGUCAAAGUCGGUCAUUGACUCAUUAGUAUCAAGGUCUGAGCUACAGCCUUCUGUAAGUUGGUGGUUUCAUGUUGCUGUCAAAUUUUAUUUUCCGCAAUAACGGAUCCGUGUUAUUGUCUUCGAAUUGUUUGAUUCUGAUUGAUACCUUAGCAGCUAUUUGGAGGUACAAUUAAUGGUAAAAAAAUAAAAGAAAUACGACUCAGUUGAUAUAUAUUGUAAAUUAUGAUUAUCAUUCUAGUUGAAAUUGACCUUCUAAAUUAUUAUUUUUGGUAAAUUAGCCUCUUGAACUAUUUAAAAUCAGUCAAUUAACCUCUUGCUGUCAUAUUGCGGAAUCAAUUCGAUCAAAUUCAAGGGCAAAUUAGUUAUUUCAUCAUCAAUUGUUACUUAUCAGCUAUAACCACCAAUAAAAUUUUGAUACAUGAACACAUAAUAAUUAAAAAACAUAUAGCAUAAUGAGAAAACAUAAAAAAAACCAAACAUUUACAUAACAGACCAUCUCACAUCGUCAUUACACAUUAUUUUAUUUUCAAAUGUCAUAAGUUCAUUGUUGGUUAUAGUUAACAAAUAAGAAUUGAUGAAGGAAAGAGUACUAAUUUUUCUUUGAAUUUGAUCACAUAGUGGAUGAAAUUUACUGUCAAGGGGUCAAUUGACUGAUUUCAAAUAGUUCAGGAGGUCAAUUUUAAUUGGAGUAAUAGUUCAAGCGGUCAAAUGACAGUUUACCCAUAUAUGUAGAUACAUAGAUCGAUAUGUAUAUUUAUGCGCAUAUAUAUAUGUGUGUGUGUGUGUGUUUACGCAUGCGCUUAAUUCGUCUAUCUAAACAAAACAAAACAAAAAAUCGUCGCUCCAUAGUCAUAACAAAAUUAUAGAGGAGCUAAUUAGAAAUUUUGUGACGAUUGAUCGAGAGAAAUGCUAAAGAGACACUCUCAAAGUGAGAGGUGAGACUUUUUAUAGAUCCCUCAUCUCACAAUUUAAUGUCAAUUCACUUAUCAAUAUUAUAAAAUAUUAUGUUAAAAAUACGAGAUGACAAAAUUUUUAUAAAGAGCCUCAAUUUAAAAAGAACCUACAAAACAUUCUCAUUCAUCGAACUCUCCAUUUUGUUGUUAUUCAUGAGAAAUGUUGAUGUUAACCAUAUAGUCCAAGUUCCUUUUGCAAAGCCGAAUAAAUUUUGGCAUUCAUGACUUUUGUUCAUUGUGUUCUAGAACUUUGCAUCCAAUUUUUCAGCUCAAAGAUAUUUAGUCGGUUGUGGACUUAGUUAGCCAGUCAUGCACUGUCAUCAUUACGGCGUACGGUUUGCUUUGAUGAAUUGGAUUCAUUGAGUUCCACCGUGGAGGCAUGUAUCCGCGUAGAGUGAAUGAGGAUUCAGAUCCUUUUUGUAAAGAUUUUGAAGAUCUUUCAAUCACGUUUGUUCAUUGUAUAUCGUGUAGUUAGAAAUAUUAUAAUUUUUUAAUUUAAAAUUCAAUAUAAACAAUGUUUGACAAAAAUUAAUUAUACGGUAUACGAUGAACUGACGUGAUUAGAAAAUCUUCAGAAUCGUCGAAAAGAGGAUCCGGAUCAUUCGUGUAGAGUAAGCUCAAACAGAAAACACGUGUAGGUUAAUUUGCAGUCAAGAACAAAGCAGUCUUUCAAAUGUUUUUCUGAAUGGUAUGACAACAAAACUAAAAAUAAAUAAAAAGUAGACAAACACUUUGAAUAAUUCUAGUUGGACUCCGGGAAAUAAUCUUUAUUAGUGUGUAUGUCAAUAAGUAUGUUAGUUUUGCUUAAAAGGGUUUUAGUUUUGCUUAAAAGGGUUUAAUCGAUGAUUUUAUAAUGUGAUCUAGUUCACGCUUAAUAGUAAUGUGGAUUAUCUUCCCGCUUUACAGCCUAACUUGACAGUCAUUAAACAUUCACUAUGUAUACACCUACCUUAUUACAUAAUAACGUCAUUGUGUUACUAGCUACAAGCUUUACAUAUUAUCUAAUAUUGAAUUGUAAACUUUGACGAUUAUAGUGUAAUUUUUUAUCUAAUAAUUUAGAUGUUAAAAGAAAACGUCGUCGUUGAAAAUCUUCGAACAUAAUGUAGAAUAUCAUACUUUUAUUUAUUUAUUAAUGAUAUAUACCCCUUAAACCCCUUUAUUCAAAGUAUUGUUUUUCUUACAGAUGUUAAGAGUGCAAAGGGACACAUGGUGUUUUCCUUCUUUUGGCAUAUAUGUAUUCACGCGGUUACUAUGAUUGUGACUCUUUUUUGGCAUAUGUAUAUAUUAUCUAGUCGGCAUGUAUGUCUUCUUUAUUUUCCUUCUCCAAAUUUGGACUCUGAAAAUGACAGAAAAAAAACCAUUCUAAACCCUAAUAACCACAAAGGAGGUCGGACAUGAGCAAUUUGGUUAGGUUAAAAAGACGAAUUGUCCAAAAGACAGAAAGAAGAACUCGGUUUAUCGAGUCAAAGUACAUAAUUUGUGAAGCGAACCAAUAUCAAAGCAUGCAGACUUCUUUUUGUUUGUGUGUGGAAUUUUCUACACGUUUUUUUGACUAAAACCCUUUUGUCUGUCGUUGUCUAUAUAAUUGGACCCAUGAAACAAAUUGUCUAUAUAUAAUUUGACCGACGAAACAGAAAGGGUACUUAGACUUUACACGUAAUUUUUUGAUUUUUAUUAUAAUACAUAAAAUAGUAUAUUAAUUGACUUAUUUUUAGAUAUUUAUAAAAUUUCUGCUUACAAUGGGCUUCAUGAUUCUGCCCUUUUCCUAAAGACUCGAUUCGAACCUCUUGAAUAUUUUGUAAAACAGUAAGAGAGAGAGGAUAGACCAACCCACUAAGCCAAGCGUGUGGAACCAUGACUCAAUCCACUUGGCAGCUUCAGUUUCAUGGAGUGACUUCUAGCAAAAGUACUUUCAACGGCUUACCAGAAGAGAAGCACAGUUAAAAAAAACGACAUUCAAAGAAUAAAAUCUCAACGAUAGCUGACUUUUCCCACUGGGUUGCGACCUAUGAUAGAGUUGAACCAAAUGGGGUGCAGUGCUUGCUUGAAGUUGAAAACACAACAAUUGUCUCAUGCCUUCGAAAAAAAUGCCCUAAAUAUGGAACUGUUGAAUCAAAAGGCUCCGUAUGGAGACCACUCUGGUAUUCUAAUGUGCAUGCCUGCAGUUGAAACAUCCUUGAAUAAACUAAUGCAUGCUCAUUGCUCACAAUUCAUGUUGCGGAAUGACUUCCAUGCAAUCGGAAUGCCACAAAGACGGUAUUUCUAAUUAAUCACGCAUUGUCAUAUAAAAACAAUAAAAGUACAUGACAGUCCAUGAUUAAUUUGAACGGUUUCUGCACAACAUUCCAAACAUAGGCAAGUUUGUUUCUCCAUUUGUUGUUGCAAAGGCUUCUUUGGACCUAUCCAUAAGAUUAACAACAAAAGAGUUAAAACCCAGAAGUGCAAGGUUUGAGCCGUUUCUGUAAUAUCUAUGAAGCAAACCAUUUUUAGGCUGGCAAAUGGUAUUAGUAUUUGGAUUAAUCCCAUUAAUCUUCUGCAAUUUCCUUGUAUCAAAGAAGACAGGAUAGGAAGGUGGCCCGUACUGAUGGGCUUUUUGGAAUUAUAGUAAAAAUUAAAUCCACUGUAUAACUGGCCAAGACUAUCCAACAGCAAAUGUUGUCCUACCUCUGUGUCUCUAAUGGCCUCUUAACCGAAAGAAAAAAAAACUUUAGGAACUUUGACUCUUAUUAUAUUAAUCCAACUGUUAAUCUUUAUCUAAAUGGUUCUAAUCUAAUUAUAUAUGCAAAACUCCGUCUCUGUUUUUUGACCCCUUUCGUAACCUUCAAAAAAGUUUUAAUUCAAGGUUUGAAGAUAAAUAUAGAAAAAGAAACAAACCAACAAUUUUUUUUUUCCUUUUCUUUCAUUUAAAUAAAGGACAAGCUGGUGGUUUUGCUAUGUCACUUUUUGACCAUUAUUGUGUCAGUGCUAAGAAUUGAAACCAGAACAUGCUAUGUGAAAUACAAAUAUAGAAUUCAUCUGAAUCACUGGUCACCCUGUGAUAGUUAACCAACAGUAUACCGACAACUUCUUUGUUUAGCGUUUUGCUCCGGCUUUGAGCCCCUUGUAACCAAAAUUUUAAACAUAUAAUAAAAUAUGUAUGUCAAAUCUUAGUUCUUGAGAAUUUGAAAGUGGAUUUACACCCAUCGCUCACUAUGUUUUUUCUGGCCGGUCAUCACAAAGACAUUCUAGUCCCUCCCAAAAAAAAAACAGAGUGCCCCACUAAAUUCUAAGCUUCUAAACCCCUAUAAAAACCCCUGCACCUCCCCCUCUCAAAAUCCCCAACAAUCUCUCUCAACUCUCUCGCUCUCUCCCUCUCUCUCCUCUCUCCCUCCAUCUCUCUCUCUCUCUCUCUAGAAAAUAACUUACAAAGUUGAUCCUGUAGGAACAUAUAGUAACAAUGUGCAAAGUGACGUCUACUCUCUGCUGCAAUGGCAACUCAGACCACCAUUACCUUGUCUCCAUCAAAGACUCGGAGGACCCCAAAAUCCUAACUUCCCCAUUGAUCUCCAAAACCAUAACAUCCCAACCAGAACAAGUACCGAAGUUACAGUUCAAUCCCCACAAAGAAUCCCAUUUUUCUUUGGCUUUAAAAGAAGCCAAUUCCAUAGCUGUCAUAGCUUUCCCAAUGAUACUUACCGGCCUGUUGCUUUAUUCAAGGUCAAUCAUCUCCAUGCUCUUCCUCGGCCGCCUUGGCGAGCUUGCCUUAGCGGGCGGGUCCCUUGCCGUGGGCUUCGCCAACAUCACCGGUUACUCCAUACUCUCCGGCCUCGCCAUGGGAAUGGAACCCAUCUGUGGCCAAGCUUUUGGCGCCAGAAAACACGCUCUGCUCGGCCUCUCUUUGCAGAGGACGGUCCUCCUCUUACUAUUUACAUCCUUACCCAUUUCUCUUCUCUGGCUGAACAUGAAAAAAAUCCUCCUCAUCUGCGGCCAGGACGAAGCGAUCGCUGCCGAAGCUCAGUUGUACCUCCUCUGUUCUCUCCCUGAUCUUCUCGCUCAAUCUUUUCUCCACCCUCUGAGAAUUUACCUCAGAAGUCAGUCCAUCACUCUGCCUCUCUCAUUGUGUGCAACUCUGGCGAUCAUCCUCCACAUUCCCAUAAACUAUUUUCUCGUUUCGCACCUCGAUUUGGGAAUCAAAGGUGUUGCUCUUAGUGGGGUUUGGACUAACUUCAACCUCGUAGCUUCCCUGAUCGCAUACAUCAUCGUCUAUGGGGUCUACAAAAAAACCUGGGGAGGGAUAUCAAUGGAGUGUUUCAAAGAAUGGAGGACUCUUCUAAAUUUAGCAGUGCCCAGCUGCAUUUCUGUUUGUUUAGAAUGGUGGUGGUAUGAGAUCAUGAUCUUGCUCUGUGGAUUGUUAAUAAAUCCGAGAGCCACCGUUGCUUCAAUGGGAGUUUUAAUUCAAAC
rnacentral:lncRNA from 1 species